rnacentral:tRNA from 1 species
GGAGAGAUGGCUGAGUACGGUUGAAGGCGCUCGACUCGAAAUCGAGUGAACCAGUGAUGGUUCCGUGGGUUCGAAUCCCACUCUCUCCG